ensembl:snoRNA SNORA70 Small nucleolar RNA SNORA70
CUGCAGCCAGUUAAACUGACUGAGUUCCUUUCCUCAUUGGGGCCCAGUGUGCAGUGGCUACAAACAGCAGCUGCCUUGGUAGUGUACUCAGCCUGUUUCUUACAUGGUUUGCUCUAAGGGACCUUGGAGACAGGC